GCCAGCCCGCUCAGAAACUUAAAGGAAUUGACGGGGCCCGCACAAGCGGUGGAGCAUGUGGUUUAAUUCGAUGAUCCGCGAGGAACCUUACCUGGGCUCAAAUGUAUGUUGACGUAUUCUGAAAGGGAUACUUCUUCGGACAAUAUACAAGGUGCUGCAUGGUUGUCGUCAGCUCGUGCCGUGAGGUGUCGGGUUAAGUCCCAUAACGAGCGCAACCCUAUCAUUAGUUGCCAUCAGGUCAAGCUGGGGACUCUAAUGAAACUGCCUACGCAAGUAGUGAGGAAGGUGGGGAUGACGUCAAAUCAGCACGGCCCUUACGUCCAGGGCUACACACGUGCUACAAUGGCCGGUACAAAGGGCAGCUACCUGGUGACAGGAUGCUAAUCUCAAAAGCCGGUCUCAGUUCGGAUCGGAGUCUGCAACUCGACUGCAUGAAGUUGGAAUCGCUAGUAAUCGUGGAUCAGCCAAGCCGCGGUGAAUACGUUCCCGGGCCUU
rnacentral:rRNA from 1 species